AUGACAUGUACGCCUGUCAUAUACUCUAAAAGGGAUUGUGUCUCUACAAUUAAUAUAGUCUUGAAAAAAGUGUCCUGCUCUUUCAUGCCAAUGUUAACAGAAAUGAUAGCACCUUCCCACCCACUGCAUGGGUGUUUACACUGCGAGGACACGCUCUGUAGCUAAGAAUGUCCUGGCCGAGUGGUUGAGACUGGGAAAAGCUAUGACUGCAGCCUGGGUGCCAGCUUAUUCUGGUUACCCCACCUUAUCAUGAAUGACGUCAGUGUGACAUGACUGUUCCUCUGUCUUUGUUUGCAAUUACAUAUGCUGUCCUUGCAGAUAAGUGACAUAAGAACAGAGCAGGUAUCUAAGCGCUAGUUGUCUCAUAGGCAUUGGGCAUCUGGGUUCUUGUUUGUCACAGCUAAGUACUGCAAAACUCUCAAAGAAAUUUUCCAAAUGUGCUGAUGGUGUUUGUGCCCCUGCUAAUUUCGCAUGUGCUCUCCAGCUUCAUGCUUGAGUGUUUCUCCUCCAGUGUUUCCAGCACAGAACCAAUUUUAUGUCACUGAGAUACUCCAAGCUAUUGUAUUGUUUACACAAAUAUUGUUUGGUUACAUCUGCUUAUUUUCUCCUAAUUUGAAUGUAACUGUUUUGCAUGUCCCUGUUGGCCUACUGAGAAUGACAAGACAGCACUUACCUGAGGUAGCAAUGAGCAAUCUGGUGCUUUGUGGUGCUUUGCUGGCUGACAUCAUCAGGAAGGAAAUGUAGCACAUUUGAUGUAGACAGUUAUUCUCACAGGAGUCUGGGACGUGCUGAAAUGGCAUUCAGAGCUCGUGUGCUCUAACUCCAGUCACACCUGCAGGUCCAGCUGCCACGGUCACCUUCGGUGUUGAAGCACACUGGGCACGUCCACUGACAGUUUACUGCAGAGCUCCCAAGCACUUGAAUUGAAAUCGCACCUGGGAAGUUGUCCUCCUAACAUGCUGCCUGAUGACUAGAGCCCGACACCGGAGAGUUUCAUCCCCGCUUAUACCAUGAUGUUACCUGUUCCUGAACCCUGACAGUUUCAGCCCACCAUACCAGCUCAAAAUGGAAACAGUACUUGUUUAUGCUACAGCAACUCCAGAGCAAAUAAAUAAUCCCACAGCGUCAUUAUAAAAUAAUUUCAGGAUACUACCAAGCUCCCUUACCAUAGCAGGCAUUUCACAGAAUCACAGAGCAGUAGGGUUGGAAGGGACAUCUGGAGAUCAUCUAGUCCAACCCCCCGUGCUAGAGCAGGAUCACCUAGAGCAGGUUGCACAGGAUCACGUCCAGGUGGAUUUUGAAUAUCUCCAGAGAAGGAGACUCCACAACCUCUCUGGGCAGCCUGUUCCAGUGCUCUGUCACCCUCAGAGUAAAGAAGUUUUUCCUCAUGUUCAGACAGAACUUCCUGUGUUCCAGUUUGUGCCCGUUGCCCCUUGUCCUGUUGCUGGGCACCACUGAAAAGAGUCUGGCCCCAUCUUCUUGAUACCUGCCCUUUAGAUAUUUAUAAGUGUUGAUCAGAUCCCCUCUCAGCCUUCUCUUCUCCAGGCUAAACAGACCCAGCUCUCUCAGCCUUUCCUCAUAUGAAAGAUGCUUCAGUUCCCUCAUCAUCCUUGUAGCCUUCCGCUGGACUCUCUCCAGUAGUUCCCUGUCUUUCUUGAACUGGGGAGCCCAGAACUGGACACAGUACUCUAGAUGUAGUACUGUGU